rnacentral:misc_RNA from 1 species
GAUGAAGAACGUAGCGAAAUGCGAUAAGUAAUGUGAAUUGCAGAAUUCAGUGAAUCAUCGAAUAUUUGAACGCUCAUUGCGGCCGCCAGUAUUCUGGCGGGCAUGCCUGUUCGAGCGUCAUUUCAACCCUCAAGCCCCCGGGCUUGGUGUUGGGGAUCGGCGUGCCCUCGCGGCGCGCCGUCCCCUAAAUCUAGUGGCGGUCUCGCUGUAGCUUCCUCUGCGUAGUAGCAACACUGGCACUGGAUCGCAGCGCGGCCACGCCGUUAAACCCCCCACUUCUGAAAGUUUGACCUCGGAUCAGGUAGGAAUACCCGCUGAACUUAAGCAUAUCAAUAAGCGGAGGA